CCUACGGGAGGCAGCAGUGGGGAAUAUUGCACAAUGGGGGAAACCCUGAUGCAGCAACGCCGCGUGAAGGAAGACGGUUUUCGGAUUGUAAACUUCUGUUCUUAGUGAAGAAUAAUGACGGUAGCUAAGGAUCAAGCCACGGCUAACUACGUUCCAGCCGCCGCGGUAAUACGUAGGUGGCAAGCGUUGUCAGGAAUGACUGGGUGUAAAGGGAGCGCAGGCGGGAAGCGAAGUCAGCUGUGAAAACUACGGGCUUAACUUGUAGACUGCAGUUGAAACUGGUGUUCUUGAGUGAAGUGGAGGUUGGCGGAAUUCCGGGUGUAGCGGUGAAAGGCGUAGAUAUUCGGAGGAACACCGGGGGCGAAGGCGGCCAACUGGGCUUUAACUGACGCUGAGGCUCGAAGGUGUGGGGAGCGAACAGGAUUAGAUACCCCUGUAGUC
rnacentral:rRNA from 1 species